GACGAACGCUGGCGGCGUGCUUAACACAUGCAAGUCGAACGGAAAGGCCCUGCUUUUGUGGGGUGCUCGAGUGGCGAACGGGUGAGUAACACGUGAGUAACCUGCCCUUGACUUUGGGAUAACUUCAGGAAACUGGGGCUAAUACCGGAUAGGAGCUCCUGCUGCAUGGUGGGGGUCGGAAAGUUUCGGCGGUUGGGGAUGGACUCGCGGCUUAUCAGCUUGUUGGUGGGGUAGUGGCUUACCAAGGCUUUGACGGGUAGCCGGCCUGAGAGGGUGACCGGCCACAUUGGGACUGAGACACGGCCCAGACUCCUACGGGAGGCAGCAGUGGGGAAUAUUGCACAAUGGGCGGAAGCCUGAUGCAGCAACGCCGCGUGCGGGAUGACGGCCUUCGGGUUGUAAACCGCUUUCGCCUGUGACGAAGCGUGAGUGACGGUAAUGGGUAAAGAAGCACCGGCUAACUACGUGCCAGCAGCCGCGGUGAUACGUAGGGUGCGAGCGUUGUCCGGAUUUAUUGGGCGUAAAGGGCUCGUAGGUGGUUGAUCGCGUCGGAAGUGUAAUCUUGGGGCUUAACCCUGAGCGUGCUUUCGAUACGGGUUGACUUGAGGAAGGUAGGGGAGAAUGGAAUUCCUGGUGGAGCGGUGGAAUGCGCAGAUAUCAGGAGGAACACCAGUGGCGAAGGCGGUUCUCUGGGCCUUUCCUGACGCUGAGGAGCGAAAGCGUGGGGAGCGAACAGGCUUAGAUACCCUGGUAGUCCACGCUGUAAACGGUGGGUACUAGGUGUGGGGUCCAUUCCACGGGUUCCGUGCCGUAGCUAACGCUUUAAGUACCCCGCCUGGGGAGUACGGCCGCAAGGCUAAAACUCAAAGGAAUUGACGGGGCCCCGCACAAGCGGCGGAGCAUGCGGAUUAAUUCGAUGCAACGCGUAGAACCUUACCUGGGUUUGACAUGGAUCGGGAGCGCUCAGAGAUGGGUGUGCCUCUUUUGGGGUCGGUUCACAGGUGGUGCAUGGCUGUCGUCAGCUCGUGUCGUGAGAUGUUGGGUUAAGUCCCGCAACGAGCGCAACCCUUGUUCACUGUUGCCAGCACGUUAUGGUGGGGACUCAGUGGAGACCGCCGGGGUCAACUCGGAGGAAGGUGGGGAUGACGUCAAGUCAUCAUGCCCCUUAUGUCCAGGGCUUCACGCAUGCUACAAUGGCUGGUACAGAGAGUGGCGAGCCUGUGAGGGUGAGCGAAUCUCGGAAAGCCGGUCUCAGUUCGGAUUGGGGUCUGCAACUCGACCUCAUGAAGUCGGAGUCGCUAGUAAUCGCAGAUCAGCAACGCUGCGGUGAAUACGUUCCCGGG
rnacentral:rRNA from 1 species